GACAGUUUUGCCCUGAGUAGACCUUGGAGUCGGGUUGUUUGUGAAUGCAGCCCAAAGCGGGUGGUAAACUCCAUCCAAGGCUAAAUACUAGCACGAGUCCGAUAGCGAACAAGUACCGUGAGGGAAAGUUGAAAAGUACUUUGAAGAGAGAGUAAACAGUGCGUGAAACCGCUCAGAGGUAAACGGGUGGAGUUGAACUGUAAGCUCCGGGGAUUCAGCUGGUGAGUGUGUCGUGGGCUUGGUCAUUUUCGGCCGGCUUUCAGAGUCCGCUUAGCUGCGGGUCCUUGCUUCUUCGGGGGUAGGGAUGUGCGUUGCGCUUAACAAGUGCUGUGCGCUCUGGAGGUUGCCGGGCUGGCUCGCCAGUGCACUUCCUCGGAGUGGUCACCACGACCGGCGUUGUUGUCUUGCUGCUGUAGUCGAACCGAUCAGGUUUGGUCCUUGUGGCCGGGCUUGGUCGGGAUGGCAGGUAGCUCAUUGGUUGGCUUGUCCAGUCUUUGGGUGUAAUCAGCUGGCUGCAGCAGUUUUGUGCAAUGCGUCGGAGACGGCGGCUUUAGGUAUGUGCUUGUGUGCCGCUUUCUGGCAGCGUGUGGUUUGGCUGACGUGUUUACCUGCUUCGGUGGGUCCGUUGGUAGCCUCGUGCUGUUCGGAGGGUGGUUGCACUUGUGAUAUCAAUGAUGGGCCUACAGUCUGUGGUGUAGCGGCAAACGAUCCACCUGACCCGUCUUGAAACACGGACCAAGGAGUUUAACAUGUACGCGAGUCAUUGGGCGUUACGAAACCCAGAGGCGCAGUGAAAGUGAAGGUUCGGCUUGUCCGGGCUGAGGUGAGAUCCUGUGGCUUCUCGUGCGAGGUACCACCAAGCAAGUGAGCCAUAGGCGCAUCACCAGCCCGUCUCAUGGUGUGGUCAUGCAGCCUUGUGUUGUGUGCGUCACCGGGGCGGAGCUUGAGCGCACAUGUUGAGACCCGAAAGAUGGU
rnacentral:rRNA from 1 species